GGACCCGAUUGGACAUUUUAGGUGCCUUCAUGGAAAGAAGGAAAGCCUGGGUCAUGCUGGUUAUGUUUAGCCAGCCCUGACCCAAUAAAGGCAGCUUAAAGGCAGCAUAAAAGUGCUGUGGGGGAGGUGUGUGUGAGCUGCAAUAAUGGUGCUGCCAUAACGGUGCUGCCAUUACAGCUCGCUACCCUCAGGGGGGCUGUGCCCCACUGGCCUGAAUCGCUGCACCUCCAAGCCUCAGCAUGUCACAUCAUCACUGCUACUCUAGGCCCUAUGUGUCCUCACGUGGCGACCAAUGUGGCUGCUGGUGCAGGGAGCUCAGCCCCUGGAGUUGGUGCUGCACCCAGUAUAGCUGCCUUCCCAGUUACCCCAGGGUCUCCCAAGCCCUGGCCUUCACAUUCCCCUGAUCUUCCACCUGAUUCGCCCCUUGCCUUUCAACCCCGGCCAACCCAAGGGACUUUGAGUACCUGUUUUCCUAGACUGCUACCUGCCUUUUGUUCCAUUUAAGAUGUUCUCUAAGACAUUAGUUCGACCCUUGGUGAGGGAUAAGGAUUCAAGUAAAGAGUUGCCUUCUGGGUCUGAUCGAUUGCCCUCUGGGUCCCGUACCUUUACUACUGGCCACCGUCACAAUCCAGGCCGCUUUCUGGACACUCGGGCCCGGACCCAGCAUUACACACGAGUGAAGCCCCACAGAAAUGGGGGACUUCACUCAUAAAGCAGAACUUUGUGACCUUGGACUCCAGUUUCAUGGGACUGUGAAACAGAGAUCCUCUGGCUGCUUCCACAGCUGCAUUUCAGGAUCUCCCAAGGAAUCGAAACCUUCUUUAGUUCAGGACUCAAAUUGGCUGUCAAGUACCCUGAAGAGGGUGAUACUGCUUCAGUCCUGCCAGAAACCCUAGUUCAGCCUACAUUGGCUGCUGAGGAAAGGGGGUCUUCAGUGCCUCAGGAGGUGGAAGCUCGGCCUUCAGUCAGGUCUGGAACUUGUAGCGCAGUCUUUACUGCAUCAUCAGGAAAAUGAACUGUCUCCAGUCCAGAAAGAAGCCCAUCUUUCAAAUAUAUCUACUGUCACCAUCAAACCUGCCUACCUGCAGAUUACCAGAACUCCAAGGGUCAUCAAUGAGGGUGAAACUUCAACCCAGCCAGAAACUCUAAAUCUCACACUGCAGAGAGCCUUGAAGAGAAUGAACAAUCUCUAACCCAAGCAGAGGCCCAGUUUCAGUCUCUAGAGAGCCUAAAGGGUGACUGUGCCAUACAGCAGGAGGCAGUGGCUCAAGCUCCAGAGAUCCCUGAGGUGACUGAAUCUUCAGUCUGCAGGAAUCCCUAGCUCAGCCUCCUGAAUCCUCUAUGGAGUUGGAAGCUCAACCAUUCCUGCAUCCUGAGGAAAAUGUUCUAUCUCUAAGUCAGAAUGAAGCUCCACACUUAAACCUGCCUCGUGUCACUGCUAAAGCUUUGAGUGUGACAUUUUUCAUAUUUUCAGAAGUCAGUUAUGAGGUUGAACCCUCUCCAGUGCCACAGGAGGCCCUGGAUCAGCUUUCUGAGCCAUCUGAGGAAUCAGUCCCUCAAGCACUUCUGCAUCCUGAAGGAAAUAUUCCAUCUCCAAGUCAGAAUGAAGCUCCAAGCUUAAAUUUGCCUCAUCUUACUGUGACAGUAACCAUAGCUACAGAGGUCAGAUCGGACAAGCCUCAUGCAUAAAGGGACCGGCAGUGGAAGCCAGGUGUGCGGGGCCCAGUGCUGAGAUCUCCAGACCUGCUCGGUUUGGGACUGGGCCUUCUCCACCCAGACCCUCACUUUCCGUAGCUUGGCAGCCACACCCAAAAACUCCCCCCAGUGUCGUGUAAUCCCACCAACAGCCAACAUCCAGAGACUAUAAGACCAAGUUCCCGGAAGAGAAUGAUGCAGAGUCUCUUGCCCCGUGCCUGGCUGUCUUCACCGGGGCCCCUCUGAGGGGACCGGUUGCCUUUGCCUUUGCCUUUGCCCCAAGCGGAGCUUUGACAGUUGAAGAUCUCCAGAACACAGCCACAGCCAUGCUCAAGGCUACUCUCCACACAUUUGGACGAGCCUCUAGCAUGAAGGGACUGGCAGAGGAAGCCAGGUGUGCGGGUGCCCGCUCGAGUAAAUCAAAGAACAACGGGAUGACAGUGAUACUGUGAUACAGACAUCUAUAAUGAGGUUGAACCUUCUUCAGUCCUGCAGGAGCCCAGGCUGAGACUCUUGAGCCAUCUGAGGAAUCUGUCCCUCAACCGUUUCUGCAUUCUGAUGAAAAUGUUCCAUCUCCAAGUCAGAAUGAAGCUCUAAGCUUAAAUUUGCCCCGUGCCACUGCUAAACCAAUGGGUGUGACAUUUUCCAUAUCUACUGAGUUUUGUAAUGAGGAUGAACCUUCAUUCCAGUAGGAGGUGUAGGCUCAACCUCCUGAGCCACGUGAGGAAUCUGUCACUCAGCCAUUUCUGCAUUUCUGCAUUCUGAAGAAAAUGUUCCAUUUCCCAGUCAAAGUCUCCAUCUUCACAUGAAAACGUGCACAGUGUCACUGCUAAAUAAAAACAAACAGUGGGCAUACUAUUUAAGAUUUCUAUAUUUUCUCCUCUAAUAGAAUUUUUUAGUGCUAUGAAUAUUACUGGUGUGCCCGAAGGAAACUGAAGAAUCAGUAGAGAAUCCACAAACAGAAUUGCUCUCCUUACUCUAUAGCCCUGCAGUCUUAGAGACAGAAAUUUUAAGUUGUCCGAGACCUUAUUUACUUACAUGAGUAGGUCCUGGGUUGACUUCAGCCUUCCAGUCUGGGCAAGUAUUUUAGUAAAAGUGACUCUUUGGUCAUCUGGUAGAAUUUCUAUCAACUAAAAUAACAUUUAAGAACCAAUGGGGGGUGCUGGAGGUAGGGGGGGUGCAGCAGGUAGGGCGUUUGCCUUGUAUGCAGCAGACCUGGGUUUGAAUCCCAGCAUCCCAUAUGGUCCCCUGAACACCCCAGAGUAAUUCCUGAGUGCAGAGCCAGGAGUAACUCCUGUGCAUGGCCGAGUGUGACCCAAAAAGAAAAGAAAAAAAAACCUUUGGGGACUUAAGGAGAUGGUACCGCAGCUGAGUCAUCUGCCUUGCAUGUCCCUGGCACGGCAUAUGGUCCUCUCUAGCACCACUAGGGUUCACAGAGCCAGCAAAAGCCCCUGAGUAUCAGAGAAUAUGAUCCCCACACCCAAAUUAUAAAGAAAUAAAAGCAGCAGUGGAUUGGCGAAUUAGCUCAACAGACUGAGCACAUUCUUGGCAUGCAGGAAGCAGUUUCAGUUCCAGUUCAGCACGGCAUUGCCAGGAGUGACUCCAAGUACGAAGUGGGUGUAAUUCCUGAGCACCAUUGAGUCUGGCCCCAAAACAGAGAAACAAAAAGAACCAUACUUAAUGUCUGCAUUGAAAAGGAAAAUGCUCUUAUUUUAUGCUUUAAAAACAAAAUUUUGGAGGGUUUUAGCGAUAGACAGUGGGCAGGGCAUUUGCCUUGCAUACGGUGACCUGCGUUCAAUUACCAGCAUCCUGUAUGGUCCCCCAAGCACUGCCACAAGUAAUUCCUGAGUGCAGAGCCAGGAGGAACCCCUGAGUAUCACUGACAGAGACCCCCAAAGCAAAAAUAAACAAACAAAAAAUAAGUUCUGGCCAUUUCAAAAGCCCCAAGAGAGUGACCAUAAAUAAGUAGGGGAAGGAGUUGAGUCUGCUGUCAUUAACUGCUGUGGCACUUGGGGAGUCCAUGACGAGAACAACAGGUUUGGUUGUGAUUUACUUAAAUACCCAUCCCUGCUUGAGGAUGAUGAUUUUUGCAGCUCUUCAGGGAUUGAUUUCCAGCUCUUCAGGAACUUCGGGAUCUGAUUAUUCUGGGGGCACGAGGAGAGGCUCCCAUCCUCCCAUGCCAUUCAGUCCUCUCGGACCUCAUCUCCACCUGGGGAGGGAUUCCAGCUCCAGUUCUGCAUUUUCUGCCAAUGGCCUUAUUGGUUAGAUGAACGUUGACCUCUUUUUUUUGGCUUUAAUUCUCAAGCCCAUCGCUGGACUUAUUCAUAUAUGCAUUUUAAUAUGAGAAAAUGAAAAUUUUUUAGGAUAUGCCAAGAGGCUCUUUAGAAAAUAAACUUUCUAGGUGGUUUGAGGCAGAGGAGGCAUUCACUGCGUUCACGUGGGGCUUCUGUCACCAUGCCAUCCUGCGAUGACUCCUAUGGUUCCUCUUCAGUCUCCUGUAAUGCCAGCAUCUCCUGGGAUCUGAAGGACUGUUGUGUAAGGGGGCCUGCGGAGCCCUGAUGGACUGUCGUGCUGAGAGGUGCUGUGAAGACCUGAUGGACUGUCGUGACUGGGGUUCUGUGGUGCGGGGGCACCCUGUGGAGGCUUGCUGGUCUGUUGUGCCAGGGGGACAAGUGGUGGCAGGGGGCGCCUUGGUACCUGUGUCUCCUGUGCUCCCUGGCUCUCCUCUGCUGUCUUGGUCUCCUUAGCUGCAUUCUCAGGAAGUUCUGCGCCCUUCACUACUCCGAGCUCCCUGAGCUCCCUGCAACAAGAAUAAGGUCGCUCUCGAAAGGGACAUCCCUCCUCUGCAUCGCUUCCUGACUUCAGGCAGAAAUUGGAACUGUCCCCAUCAUUUACUCUGUGUCUUUGUUGAAAAUUUUGUCCUUGUCAGAGGAAUCCUUGUCCUGAAGCUUCUGUGCCAUGUUUUUCUUAUGUGCCAUGUUUUUCUUACUGAGCGGCCGAUACAUGUCCCUCAGCCACAGGGGCCGCCUUUGCCAGAAAAAGCCCUCCUGGAAAAGGCAAGGGGAGCUCGUGAUCCUGUACCCCAGCCCACUCUUGUACUGCCUCAGUGUCCCCUCUUCCCCUUGCUUACCUGAGGCUUGUGUUCCACUGAACUUCUCCAAGGAAGCAAUAAUCCAAAGAAGGUCCUUGGAGGAAAACACGGACACACAUCAUUCGUCAUUCACCCAUUUCCCAUGCUUCUAUGAUGGAGGUCUCUGUUCUUGUUAGGAUAACUACAUGGGUACCUCGGUCUGGAGCCAUGAUGAGUCCAACCACUAUGACCUGACACCUUGACAAAGUUUCCAUGCAUACUUGCAGCGGUUUUUAGAAAUUUGUCGGGUCCAUCCAAAGGGACCCCAUAGUCUCUUGAGAGACAUUUAUAUGCAGCCUGGCUUAGAAAACAGGCAGGAUAUUUAGUUCUGCUCACCACGGUGGCCCCAGCAAAUGCCCUGUGCAGUGAAUAAACUGCCCACCACACUGAGAGAAGGCACUAGAGUCUCCAGAAGCCUUUCCACUGGUUGCCUCUGGAUUUAGUUCCUCGGGCACCCUUUACUGGAAGUUGGGGUUGGGGAGAUGAUUCUAUCCUCAUAGCUGCUUUAUUCCAGAUGCUGAACCAGAGUAAAUGCCUAUGUGCAAUUUGCCAAAUCUUUUAGCCCACUAGCUUCCAUCCUGCAGGCAAUCACAUCAUUGUUGGGGAUGAGGGAUUACAGCUGCUGGAUGAGUUGAAUCUCCAGUUGGUCUCCGAGGUGUGGUUUUUGUGUGGCAGAGAAGAUGUCCCUGGUCACGUUGUGAUAUUCCCACUGCAUCUCCUUGGACUGUUUGACAGUUGGCAUGAUGUUGUCCGCCAUCGCGGCUUCCUUCUCAUGGGUGGUUCCAUUGCUACUGACAGUUUUCUCUGGCAGCGCAAUGCCUCUGGUGUUCCCCCCAUUUGCAGCAUGCGUGCUUUCUGCAGUCUUCUUUUCUGUAGACUAGUGCGAAAGAAGAAAUUAUUGCAGGAAAGCUUUGUCCUGAUCUCUCCAAGACAGACUCCUCUCGUGGCGGGGAGUUGAUGAGGCUCUUCACUGCAGCGGAAGGAGGCCGCUUGCUGAGCACCGGCCUCUCGGGUGCUGAUAACUUUAUCUCCAUAUUCAUUCUGCCUUUGGGCAUUCUGCAGCCCACCAGUGUUUUUCUGGUCUUUCGAUUUGUUUUUCAUUACAGAUGGGAUUUUGUAAGAAGUGGCUGUCGACACUCAAGCUUCGGGGGUGUGGUGACCACCGCUUUGUGCUCCUGGAUGAAGGACGACGACUCAAGGAGUUUUCCACUAAUUUCCUGGGCUUUCCCACCAAGGGAAGCUCUUUCGGUUCUUUUGGGGCUGGCUGCCUGAGCCUUCUUUCUUGGGCAAUGUUUUCUAAGUCUAGUUGCUUUUUUAUGAAAAUGGAGAGGUUACUUCCAUAUGCUGAGGCCUUCUCUGGUUGAAUGAUCAGCUCAGAUCCGGUAUUCUACUUUCUGCGGCCUGUGAAACCUUCAAGAACUCUCCUUCCAUGUUUCUUAUGGACUCAUCUAAAUCUGACUUCUCGGGUGCUGAUUUCUUCGUCUCUGUAUGCACUCUGGCUUUUGUCAUUCUGUGUCAAAGCUGAGAGAGUAAGAUUUAUGAAAUUGGUAUUUUUUUCUGUUGUAAUAAUCAUAUGAUUAUUCUACUGAUCCCCAAGGAGCAAGCACCCAGUCAUCAAGACAAAUAUUUGCUGCUCAGUUAGACUCUUUACUGAUCAACUAUGACUUUUUUUUGUUUUAUGUUUUGGCCAUUCCCAGCCAUGCUCAGGGGUUACUCCUGUCUCUGCUCUCCGAAAUUUUCUGGAUGGUGCCUUGGGGACCGUAUGGGAUGCUGGGAAUUGAACCUGGGUUGACUGCAUAAAAGGCAAGCACCCUCUCCACUAGACCAUCUCUCCAGCCCCUCAACUAUGACUUGGGGUGUAUUCCCAUACCUUUAUCCCGUCCUGCCCAUAUAAAGAGAGAGGACUUUUUCUCUCUACCUCUCUCAGGUGCUAAUGCUUUUGUUACUGUCAAGAUGACGAAUAAAUUCCUCCAAAAAUCAGGUCUUCAUCUGAAUGUACCCUUCCUCCACCUACCCACUAAUUCUUUUGCUUAUUAACUCUUAGUCUCAUAUUGUUGAAGCUGGCAGAUGUCUAAGGAUAGGUUAAUGGAUUUGCCAGAGUAUAUGUCAGUGUGCAAUGUUGAGAAAAUCUGGAAGAUAAUUUUGCUUUGUUUUGUUUGGGGUGACACUUGGUGAUGCUCAGGGGUUAUUCUUGGUUCUGUGCUCAGGAAAUCAUUCCUGGUGGUGCUUGGGAAACCAAAUGGGAUGCUGGCGAUGGAACCCAGGUCAUCCGUGUGCAAGGCAAGUCCCGUACCUACUGUACUAUCUCUUGGGCCCCUGAAAUAACAUUGGAGCUCCCAAAAUUGGGGAAAAUAACUCUUAUUAGAUGUCUAUUUUGCCUUCAUUUACUCCCUUCAACUUCCAAUUCUAUUUAGGGAACCAUACAAAGUUUCUGACUGCUUGAAGGUCAAGUAUAACAUUUGUACAAUUGGGUUUUUUUUUGAGGGGUAGUGGGGCCAAAUCCAUAAAUGUUCAGGGGUUACUUCUAUCUCUGUGCUCAGGGAUCACUCCUGGUAGUAACUGAGGAUUGUCUGGGAAGCGAGGGAUCCAACCCAGGUCUGCCGUAUGCAAGACAGGUGCGCUAGCUGCUAGACUAUCUCUCCAACCAACCUUUGCUGAAGAAUUCAAAGUGCUUUUGGUGGAGGUGAAGUUUAGAGGGGGAGUUAAGGGAAGUGAAGAAGAAGCAUGGACUUGCAGAGAGUCCCAGACCGGGAACACAUGAUCUAGGCAUUAGGCACAUUUAACACUUUUAGUUUUGCUAUUCCUCACCUAAAAAAAUAUAUAAUUAUUUGGUUUAGUUUUUCUCUAAAUAAAAUCAUUGCAGAUGGAGUAGCGUGGUUACAAUGGUACCGAUGCUAUUGGUUUCCAUGUACAAAGUGAACUUCACCUAGACCACUGCCCAAGUGCCGAGACACCACAGUCUGUACAUCGCCUCUAGCCUGACUCUACUCCUGCCACCCCCCACAUCUCCAGGUUUGUUGUUCAUCUUAUGAAAGGUGAUUAGUAAAUGAUUGUUAUGCCCACUUUUGCGAAGAGAAUUAUUGCAAAGGGACUUGCUAAAAGUUGAUUUUAACAAUAACACUAUCUUUGUGUAAGAAGCAAAGUGAUCUGAUGUGCCCAAUUUCUGAUAGCGAAUCUGAUUCAUACUAUCCUGGCGUGAAAACACAUUUUUGGGUGGUGCGUGUGUGUGUGUGUGUGUGUGUGUGUGCGCGCGCGCGCGCGCGCGCGUAAGCACAUGUGCAUGCGUGCUUGCGCCAUUCUCAGUAGUGCCCAAGAAAUACUCCCAGCAGUGCUUGGGAACCUGUUUUGCAGGGAGUUGAACCCACACAGCCCACAUGAAAAGCAUGUGAUACAACCUAUUGAUCUAUUUUCCUAGGCCCCUAAAAGCACGUUUUGGAAGUUAUCAAGCUAAAGUCAGUAAAGUUACUAUGUGGAAAGAUACUUAAGAGCACCUGAGUGCUUUGUAGAUGGAAGGGUUAAAAUUCAAAAUAGGCUCAGAAGUGGGGUUGGUCUAAGAAUCCAUGAGCCCAUCCAUCUUUAGAAGGACUGAGUGGCAACCUCUGCUUAGAAAACCAGAAAUUCUCAGGCUCUAAGCAAAACUUUCAUAAGACAGUAUGACUUGUACUCACCUAUAAAUUACAAAAGCACAUGCAAUAAAGUAGCGACACCUGUCCUAUGAAGAAAAGGGCACUUGAGAUCUGUUGUAUAUAAAAUCUGUUUACAAACUGCAUUCUGUGGCUGAGCUCUCAUCUGGAGGACCAGCACCUUGGUCAGAGUGUGGCCCUCAUUUGUGACCAUUAAUGUUACCUCCCUUCCCCACUUCUAUCCCUUUCUGCCAUUCCUCUUAAGUCUUCAGGUCAUCCAUAUACUACUAAGGUAAUGAUGUUAUUGAGAUUCUGACUUUUACCAAGGGAAAUCAUUCUUAGAAAUAUAGGAAUUUGAACUCUGAAUAAAAAUAAUGCAACUACAUAAUCAGUUUAAAAUGGACCAUCAGUGAUUAAAAUUAAAAUGAAACAAUUAAAGAGCUAUGAGCAGGCUAUUUAGACUUACCUCUGUGUUUACUAUUGUUAGGAUAUUCACUGUCACAAUUUAGUUUGAAUAAAGUCUUGCAGACAACCUCAAUAUUGGGGUGUGUUUUUUAAUUUUUUGGUUUUUGGGUCACACCCAGCUAUGCACAGGGGUCACUCCUGGCUUUGCACUCAGGGAUUACCCCUGGCGGUGCUCAGAGGACCAUAUGGGAUGCUGGGAGUCAAACCCAGGUCGGUCACAUGCAAAGCAAAUGCCCUACCCACUGUGUUAUCGCUCCAGCCCCUCAAUAUUGUUUUUAAAUUGCUGAGGAAGCAGGCUAAAUGGCUGGGUAAGAUCCUAUGAAUGGAAACACAGAAUUAAGUGUAGAGUAAAGGGGUGGCUUUAAACAGGUAGAAGAGGUAGCCAAAGCCACUGUGCAGCUAUUCAAAAUGUUCCUGAGAAACAUGGGUGAGGUGUUGCUCGAAAUCUGUGGUGGUGGGAAUCCAACUGGGAGGUGAUGCAUGCCAAGUGUGUACCUUAACCCCUCUCCUAUCACUUCAGCCCUCAGAAAAUUGAGUUUUGUUUUUGGUCAUUGUUGGGGUCUCAGCAGCCAGCCUGAGACCCUGGACAAAUCCCUGCCCUUAGAAGCAGGAGCAGUCUCUCUUCACAGGGGCCUAAGGCCCUGUGCCAGCACUCCACCCAGUGCUAACAUACCCGGCCUUGAGAGCAGGAAACAUAAGUCAUUAGUUAACGUCUGUAAUGGGUCCGGCAAAGUGUAUAUGACAAGCGUUGAUAACCAUGUGUUCACAAUAUCCAAGUCACCCUGAAAUUGUGUAUAAAUAUCUCCUGUGGGAUCUAAUAAAAUGAGAGUUGGUUGACCUCCGA